AGAAUUGAUCUUGGUUCAGGAUGAACGCUGGCGGCGUGCUUAACACAUGCAAGUCGAACGGAGCUUAGAAGGAAGCUUGCUUUCAUUUAAGCUUAGUGGCGGACGGGUGAGUAACGCGUGAGCAACCUACCCUCGAGUGGGGAAUAACAUCGAGAAAUCGGUGCUAAUACCGCAUAAAGUCGAGCGACCGCAUGAUCUUUCGACCAAAGGAUUUAUUCGCUUGAGGAUGGGCUCGCGUCCGAUUAGCUAGUUGGUGAGGUAACGGCCCACCAAGGCUUCGAUCGGUAGCCGAACUGAGAGGUUGAUCGGCCACAUUGGGACUGAGACACGGCCCAGACUCCUACGGGAGGCAGCAGUGGGGAAUAUUGGGCAAUGGGCGAACGCCUGACCCAGCAACGCCGCGUGAAGGAUGAAGGUCUUCGGAUUGUAAACUUCUUUGAUUGGGGAAGAAUAAAAUGACCUACCCAAAGAACAAGCCACGGCUAACUACGUGCCAGCCGCAGC
rnacentral:rRNA from 1 species